AUUUGAUAUGUCCAUCACCGAAACACCAUGGCAAGGAGAACCAAGGUUCGGCCAUGCUUUAAUUUGUGCAUGCUCAAGGAGUUAAAGAAGGAGAAUCAAGCAAGGGAAAGACGAAGGUCAUCGAGUAGCCGACUUGGAACUAUUUUACCCAACACGAGGUCUCUUGGACUCGUAUUGUUG